UGCCGCAACGCGCCUCGACGAUGUGGCCAAGCGCGAAGGUGUCGCGAAGGGCACGAUCUAUCUUCACUUCAAGGACAAGGAAGCGCUGUUUCAGGAACUGGUGCGCACCGCGCUCGGGCCGCUGAUCGUGCGGNUUCGAAUCCGCAGAUUGGGGCGGGUGCAGGAUCGGCGCGGGCGGCGAUGGAAGCACUGGCCGAGACGUUCGCCCGCGACGUCCUCCGCACAAAACGCGCUGACAUCGUGCGAAUGNNGGCACGCGCUUUCCGCAACUCGCGGAAUUCUAUUACCGCGAGGUGGUCGCGCACGGCAUCGCCGGAAUGCGCAAGCUGAUCGAAUACGGCAUCGCGCGCGGCGAAAUCCGAAACCCGGGGCUGGCGGG
rnacentral:misc_RNA from 1 species